GCAUGUCUAAGUAUAAGCACUUUAUACUGUGAAACUGCGAAUGGCUCAUUAAAUCAGUUAUCGUUUAUUUGAUAGUACCUUACUACAUGGAUACCUGUGGUAAUUCUAGAGCUAAUACAUGCUAAAAACCCCAACUUCGGGAGGGGUGUAUUUAUUAGAUAAAAAACCAACGCCCUUCGGGGCUCCUUGGUGAAUCAUAAUAACUUAACGAAUCGCAUGGCCUUGCGCCGGCGAUGGUUCAUUCAAAUUUCUGCCCUAUCAACUUUCGAUGGUAGGAUAGUGGCCUACCAUGGUGGCAACGGGUAACGGGGAAUUAGGGUUCGAUUCCGGAGAGGGAGCCUGAGAAACGGCUACCACAUCCAAGGAAGGCAGCAGGCGCGCAAAUUACCCAAUCCCGACACGGGGAGGUAGUGACAAUAAAUACUGAUACGGGGCUCUUUCGGGUCUCGUAAUUGGAAUGAGUACAAUCUAAAUCCCUUAACGAGGAACAAUUGGAGGGCAAGUCUGGUGCCAGCAGCCGCGGUAAUUCCAGCUCCAAUAGCGUAUAUUAAAGUUGUUGCAGUUAAAAAGCUCGUAGUUGAACCUUGGCUCUGGCUGGCCGGUCCGCCUCACCGCGAGUACUGGUCCGGCUGGAGCUUUCCUUCUGGGGAACCUCAUGGCCUUCACUGGCUGUGGGGGGAACCAGGACUUUUACUGUGAAAAAAUUAGAGUGUUCAAAGCAGGCCUUUGCUCGAAUACAUUAGCAUGGAAUAAUAGAAUAGGACGUGCGGUUCUAUUUUGUUGGUUUCUAGGACCGCCGUAAUGAUUAAUAGGGAUAGUCGGGGGCGUCAGUAUUCAGCUGUCAGAGGUGAAAUUCUUGGAUUUGCUGAAGACUAACUACUGCGAAAGCAUUCGCCAAGGAUGUUUUCAUUAAUCAGGGAACGAAAGUUAGGGGAUCGAAGACGAUCAGAUACCGUCGUAGUCUUAACCAUAAACUAUGCCGACUAGGGAUCGGGCGGUGUUUCUAUGAUGACCCGCUCGGCACCUUACGAGAAAUCAAAGUUUU
rnacentral:rRNA from 1 species